CUAAAGUAUAAGCAAUCUUUACGGUGAAACUGCGAAUGGCUCAUUAAAUCAGUUAUCGUUUAUUUGAUAGUACCUUGCUACAUGGAUACCUGUGGUAAUUCUAGAGCUAAUACAUGCUGAAAACCCCGACUUCGGAAGGGGUGUAUUUAUUAAAUAAAAAACCAAUGCCCUUCGGGAGCUGCUUGGUGAUUCAUUAAUAACUUUAACGAAAUCGCAUUGGACACAUUGACGUCCGGACGAAAUGGUUUACAUAUCAAAACUUUUUCAUACCUCUUAAUACAUACAUUAUCAAAUGGGGUUAAGAAAAUAUAAAGAGAAGAUUAAACCAAUUAUGUUGUGUCUUUUCAGCGGUGUCAAAACGGCAGAGGAUUUUUAAAAGAAGCGUAGGAA
rnacentral:rRNA from 1 species